CUAUACAUGCAAGUCGAACGAACUCUGGGUAUUGAUUGGUGCUUGCAUCAUGAUUUACAUUUGAGUGAGUGGCGAACUGGUGAGUAACACGUGGGAAACCUGCCCAGAAGCGGGGGAUAACACCUGGAAACAGAUGCUAAUACCGCAUAACAACUUGGACCGCAUGGUCCGAGCUUGAAAGAUGGCUUCGGCUAUCACUUUUGGAUGGUCCCGCGGCGUAUUAGCUAGAUGGUGGGGUAACGGCUCACCAUGGCAAUGAUACGUAGCCGACCUGAGAGGGUAAUCGGCCACAUUGGGACUGAGACACGGCCCAAACUCCUACGGGAGGCAGCAGUAGGGAAUCUUCCACAAUGGACGAAAGUCUGAUGGAGCAACGCCGCGUGAGUGAAGAAGGGUUUCGGCUCGUAAAACUCUGUUGUUAAAGAAGAACAUAUCUGAGAGUAACUGUUCAGGUAUUGACGGUAUUUAACCAGAAAGCCACGGCUAACUACGUGCCAGCAGCCGCGGUAAUACGUAGGUGGCAAGCGUUGUCCGGAUUUAUUGGGCGUAAAGCGAGCGCAGGCGGUUUUUUAAGUCUGAUGUGAAAGCCUUCGGCUCAACCGAAGAAGUGCAUCGGAAACUGGGAAACUUGAGUGCAGAAGAGGACAGUGGAACUCCAUGUGUAGCGGUGAAAUGCGUAGAUAUAUGGAAGAACACCAGUGGCGAAGGCGGCUGUCUGGUCUGUAACUGACGCUGAGGCUCGAAAGUAUGGGUAGCAAACAGGAUUAGAUACCCUGGUAGUCCAUACCGUAAACGAUGAAUGCUAAGUGUUGGAGGGUUUCCGCCCUUCAGUGCUGCAGCUAACGCAUUAAGCAUUCCGCCUGGGGAGUACGGCCGCAAGGCUGAAACUCAAAGGAAUUGACGGGGGCCCGCACAAGCGGUGGAGCAUGUGGUUUAAUUCGAAGCUACGCGAAGAACCUUACCAGGUCUUGACAUACUAUGCAAAUCUAAGAGAUUAGACGUUCCCUUCGGGGACAUGGAUACAGGUGGUGCAUGGUUGUCGUCAGCUCGUGUCGUGAGAUGUUGGGUUAAGUCCCGCAACGAGCGCAACCCUUAUUAUCAGUUGCCAGCAUUAAGUUGGGCACUCUGGUGAGACUGCCGGUGACAAACCGGAGGAAGGUGGGGAUGACGUCAAAUCAUCAUGCCCCUUAUGACCUGGGCUACACACGUGCUACAAUGGAUGGUACAACGAGUUGCGAACUCGCGAGAGUAAGCUAAUCUCUUAAAGCCAUUCUCAGUUCGGAUUGUAGGCUGCAACUCGCCUACAUGAAGUCGGAAUCGCUAGUAAUCGCGGAUCAGCAUGCCGCGGUGAAUACGUUCCCGGGCCUUGUACACACCGCCCGUCACACCAUGAGAGUUUGUAACACCCAAAGUCGGUGGGGUAACCUUUUAGGAACCAGCCGC
rnacentral:rRNA from 1 species